rnacentral:rRNA from 1 species
GGUGAAUUCUUUGACGGGAAAGAACCGAACCGUGAAGCCACCGCGGAAGAGUUGAAAAUGCUGCAAUACAACGCUCAAGCUUGUGAUAUCCUCUUCAAUGGAUUGUGCCCCGAAGAAUUCAACAAAAUCAGCCGCCUUGAGAAUGCAAAGGAAAUUUGGGAUACUUUGAUUGAUAUGCACGAAGGUACCGACUCCGUCAAGGAAUCCAAAUUGGAUGUGCUUCAAAGUCAACUUGACAAGUUCAAAACGAAGGAUGGUGAAGGUGUUGCUGAAAUGUACUCUAGGCUUGCUCUUAUCACAAAUUAG